GACGAACGCUGGCGGCGUGCCUAAUACAUGCAAGUUGAGCGCUGAAGGUUGGUACUUGUACCAACUGGAUGAGCAGCGAACGGGUGAGUAACGCGUGGGGAAUCUGCCUUUGAGCGGGGGACAACAUUUGGAAACGAAUGCUAAUACCGCAUAAAAACUUUAAACACAAGUUUUAAGUUUGAAAGAUGCAAUUGCAUCACUCAAAGAUGAUCCCGCGUUGUAUUAGCUAGUUGGUGAGGUAAAGGCUCACCAAGGCGAUGAUACAUAGCCGACCUGAGAGGGUGAUCGGCCACAUUGGGAAUGAGACACGGCCCAAACUCCUACGGGAGGCAGCAGUAGGGAAUCUUCGGCAAUGGACGAAAGUCUGACCGAGCAACGCCGCGUGAGUGAAGAAGGUUUUCGGAUCGUAAAACUCUGUUGGUAGAGAAGAACGUUGGUGAGAGUGGAAAGCUCAUCAAGUGACGUUAACUACCCAGAAAGGGACGGCUAACUACGUG
rnacentral:rRNA from 1 species